AGGACGGAUAGGAAACUGGAUCGACUUGACAUCUGCCAGUGUCAAUUAUAAUCCUCUACAACUUUCCCUCUUUUUCUAUUUUUUGAAAAAAAGUUUCUUGGCGUCGGGACGACGGGACGCCAGUCAAGGAUAUCAUUUAACAAACAUACAGGGACCUUCUCUCUUUUAUAUUUUUCUGCGUGUGUCGAAUGUGCUGGAGCGUGAAAAAUCGUGUCGGUUAUAUCACGCCGAGUCGUCAGUAAAUCAAUCGCCGAUCCAUGAAAUGUGAAAUGGACAACAACAACUUGAAAAAAAGUAAAAAACUGGAACACUGGGAAAUUUAAAUUUUUUUGUUUUUUAAAUUUGUUAUGUAAUCCGGUCCUCGCUGACAGCUGAUGUGCCCAGCCAAAAAAACGAGAACAACAGCAGCAGAACACACACCUGAGACGUCAUUUAUUAUCCUUACAAGAGAGAAAGUUGUGAUGGCCGACUCUCUCUCGACCAAUAUGGCCAGGCAGCAAGGAUCGGCUGCUAGCUGCCUACUCCCGUGCAUAUGAUGGAUGCGCUGCGGAGGCGAAUGAUCGACACACACUGGGGCAUUAUUAUUUCACGAGGUGAGUCAUCAUCUUGUACAUCAAAACAUCUUUUCUCAUAUUCCAGCUACUAGCUAGCUAGAGAAAAGGUGUCACUUUCUUUUAAUCUUUUCUGUCCACACACAAACUGUGACACGUUCUGAUGUUUAUUCAAUUUUUAUCUUUGCGGUUUUUUUUUGUAUUAAAACGGUGAGACUGGCCUCGUGAAUAUUUUUCGUGUCCUUGCAAUCGGGUCAAGGCGCCAAGCAGUUGUUUUCUUUUUUUUUUCUUUUUCUUUAGACUGAGGACUGACCAUAUUAGCGUUUAUGCCUUUAACAUGUUUCGCUAUCUUGUAUUUAUGUUUCCAAACGAGCUGCUGCUGGUUGGUUGGCUUGCACGCGACUUUCUACAGCGCGGAGAUUCUUCUGCUUUUAUUCG